GCCUCUUCCCACUUCCUCCACCAGAUGCCGCCUAGGAGCAGAGCCCCUGGAGAAGCGUGUGGUCGAACCCAGGGACACACCUGUGGCGCAUUGUCUGACAGAGGCUGGGGAUAUUUAAGAAGCGGCGAGCUGACACUUCCUUGCCUGAGUGUUUGUUUACCUCGGUUUACCUGGAUUCCUCCGGAGUUUUUCGAGAGAAGAGUUCUGUGGAUCGUUUAUCCCGGACUGCGACCAGCCGCCAGCUCGCU